GUCAGGGUGGUUCAGUGGUUUGAAUGUUGGACUAGGGCUCUAGGGGACCAGGGUUGGAAUCCCCACUCAGUCA